rnacentral:miRNA from 1 species
UAUUGCUGGAGAAUACGCGUAGC